GAUGAACGCUAGCGGCAGGCUUAAUACAUGCAAGUCGUGGGGCAGCACAGGUAGCAAUACUGGGUGGCGACCGGCAAACGGGUGCGGAACACGUACGCAACCUUCCUUUAAGUGGGGGAU
rnacentral:rRNA from 1 species